AGCAGGCCUUUGGAGGCUGGUGACAUCUGUCUGGCAGUAUGCUGGGGACAUGACUUUCACUGCCCUUCCUGAGUGGUUGUAUCAACGAGGGUGCUCAGGUUUUUGCACCCAGAGGUUGCGGAAAUUCUGGGUGCCACAGAGAUCGGCAUGUGGUGCCUCUAGACUUCUCUAUAGAAGAUUUCUUUUUCAGAGAUCUGACAAAGUCUCGGUCUGACAGCAGAGGGAACCUCAAAUGCCUCACUGUAGCCAGGUAAAAACUGGAUAUCCCUGGACAUGGUUCCGCUCUUGCAGACCAAGACAUUAAGGGUUGAUCAGGAAUUUAAGAAAUUGUUAUAUCAAGAGGAAACAAUCUUCACAUAAUUACCACACAGAAAUUGCUCCUGGAGCCAAAUAAACUGGAGAAAAGACUAUUUGAAACAGGCUACCAAGUUUAGAGAUGAAAAGGUGAAGAAGUGUUAAAAUGACUAAGCAAAAACUAAGCAAAAAAUAUGAGGCCUGUUUCCUGCAAGGAUUGGUUUCCUUAUCUGUGAGGCCUGAUGGGUGUCAUUCAGCUGCUGCCCUGCCCGUGUUCCUUGUGGAGUGGCAGCUGAGAGAACAUGCAUUUUGGGUGCAGAACGUCAACAGAAGGGAAAUUGUUAAACAAACAAAAAACCCUCAUAUGAGCAUGGGACAUGUGUGGUCUUCUGCUCUAUGGUAAAUUCAUAUUCGCUAUAUUCCCUCUGCCUAUCAAAAUUUUGAAAUAGUGAUUGAAAAGAAGACGAUGAAGGAGGAGGAGGAGAAGGCAAAAGAGGAAGAGGAGAAAAAAGAAUAGGAGGAGGUAGCGGAGGGGAAAGAAAAGAAAGAAUGAGCAUAGCAG